UAGGGAAUAUUGCAAAAUGGGCGAAAGCCCGAUGCAGCAACGCCGCGUGGGCGAUGAAGGCCUUCGGGUCGUAAAGCCCUUUUUGAGGGGAUGAGGAAGGACAGUACCCUCAGAAUAAGCCUCGGCUAACUACGUGCCAGCAGCCGCGGUAAAACGUAGGAGGCGAGCGUUAUCCGGAUUUACUGGGCGUAAAGCGCGUGCAGGCGGAUUGGAGAGUUGGAUGUGAAAGCUCCCGGCUUAACUGGGAGAGGUCGUUCAAUACUUCCAGUCUUGAGUGCAGUAGAGGGAAGUGGAAUUCCGGGUGUAGUGGUGAAAUGCGUAGAUAUCCGGAGGAACACCAGUGGCGAAAGCGGCUUCCUGGACUGUAACUGACGCUCAGACGCGAAAGCUAGGGUAGCAAA
rnacentral:rRNA from 1 species